rnacentral:rRNA from 1 species
GCAAAACGCGAAGAACCUUACCCACCUUUCGUACAUGUACGGAAUCCUUUACGUAGAUAGAGGAGUGCUCGAAGAGAGCCGUAACACAGGUGCUGCAUGGCUGUCGUCAGCUCGUGUCGUGAGAUGUUGAGUUAAGUCCCGCAACGAGCGCAACCCUUGCCAUUAGUUGCUACAUUUAGUUGAGCACUCUAAUGGGACUGCCGGUGACAAACCGGAGGAAGGUGGGGAUGGACGUCAAGUCCUCAUGGCCCUUAUAGGUUGGGGCUACGACACGUCAUACAAUGGCUGGUACAAAGGGUUNCCGAACCCGCGAGGGGGAGCGUAAUCCCAUAAAGCCAGUCGUAGUCCGGAUCGCAGUCUGCAACUCGACUGCGUGAAGUCGGAAUCGCUAGUAAUCGUGGAUCAGAAUGUCACGGUGAAUAC